GUCCUUUAUUUAUACUCCAAUUCCAAGAAAAAAGAAGGCACAGUUUGGGUUCGUAUUUCUCUCUUCACAAUGUGUCUUUCGUCUCUCUCAAAACGUUUUCUGUCCUCUUUUAUUAUCUGUCUCUUUCAUAUGUGCAUCUCUUUCCUUCCCUCUUUCCCCUCUUUCAUGGUGGCUAACGAUGGCCUUUACGGACGUAGUGUGGGUGAUGGCGGUGGCUGUGAGUAGCGGUGGUUAUGGUGGUCGGCGGCAUGAAGAAUUAUUUCUCAGAGUUGGACUCAGAGCUACAUAUGUUUGGUUUUGAAUUUGAAUUUGAAGUUGAAUUUGAAGAGUUAGCUUACCAUUAUGCCAUGGAAGGAAAACUCAUUGAGUUGGCUAUGUUGCUGAUUGUUGCUUGAGAAGACGUUUUGGUUCGCAUCACUUUUCAUGGAAAAGAUGGUGCUGGUUUAAAUGGCAAGUACGACAAUCCAUGAAUGCAUUAAAAAUCAUUUUGUCUAUCUAAUUAACGAGGAGAUCAGCUUUAUGGAACAAGUUAAACAUGAGAAAUUUACUCAGAUUCACGAGAAGAAGGUUAUGAGGUUGGCUAUGCUAUUGACUGGUAAUAGUGUUGAGGAAUAUUUGCAGCUGCAACAACUUGAUGUAUGUAUCAAUACAUGUUCCAUCCUCUUGCAAACAGUAGGAUUUCAAUUCACGAUUCUCAAUUUCAUAACUAGUAUCUUGUUCUCCAAGAUUGUGUUUGGAUCUUGGAUUUGUGGAUGAGUUUAUAGUAGGAAAAUAAAAUGAAAUGGUGGAAACAACAAUAAGAAAAGAUUAAUGAAGUAGAAGCAAUUUUUUUUUCUUCUCUCUCUACAAUCCCUUCACAAAUCCAAUAUCCAAACACUACCUAACAAGGUCGAGAUCCCAGCUUCUCCAGCCACUCUUCCAAUAGUAUCUGGUUGUAAAGAUCUCGGUUUCUCUGGUGGGAUAUCUCAGCUUCCUCAGAGAGAUAUAAGUUUAUGAUUGUAUGUUGUUAAAGUAACAAAAUUGUACUCCUAUGUGCUUGCAGUAAUGCAUAUCAGCACAUUAUUACAUAAAGUAAUCAUUUGGUUCUUAUAGGUGCAGAGAAAACAUGUGGAGAAAGAUAUUGCUCUGAGGCUUGUGGAAGCUGGCUUUAACUUGAAGGCUAGAGACUUAGAUUUUAGCAGUAGAGACUGGUUUGGGAACCUAAUACUUAACGUUUGAUUGCCUUUUUUUGGAUUGUGUUUCUUCUCUUUAUGCACAUUAUUGAUCUUAUAACUUUUGUGGUUCAGUAUAAGUAUGUAAGCUAUUAUGUCAUUGAAUGGCUAGUUAAUAUUUAGGGUACCAUUUUUUUUUACAGGUUCAUUUCCUAUGAUUCCCCUACCAAGUACAUAGAGACUCAAUUAGGUGAUUUAUUGACUUCUAAUGGAAACUUACUUUUGCUUCAUAAGUAAUUAUAAAGAAACGAAAUGGAAUGCUAGUUUCUGACAUGUUUUCUUACAGAAGAUAAGUUGUCUCAGUUACGGAGUCCUGGCUUGCCCAUGUUGCAGCAAACAAAUGUGUUUUACCCCCCAAAGGGCUUAUAGUGGGAAGACAGAGAAAGAGAAAUGUGAAGUGACAAAAUAAGUUAAUGACCUACAAUGUAGGACAAGAUGAGGUUAACUGCUCCUACUAGUAGUGAACCCAAACCUAAUAAAUGGCAACUGAAAAAUAGGCUGGGGGGGUGAAAUUGGUUGUUGAAAGACUCGCAAGAGCUGAAGAACUCCUUCCUGCGAAGCUAUUGAAGAGGUUUAAUCGAAGGUGCUAAUCGAUUCUCCCCUUCAAAGAUCACAUUCCGAUUUCGGUUUCCUAUUUUUUCAUUUUUUUUGGGCCAGAUUUUUGUACUCCUGCUUGGCAGCAAACGACCCCCUCUGCUCCAAUGACGACUCCUCUUCUCGUCAGAGGAUAUGUUGUCUCAGUCAUGGUGUCCUCGCUUGUCCAUGCUGCAGCAAACAGAUGUUUUUUCCCGCCAAAG